CCCACCAUAACAAUUUCAUCUAUGGGUAGGCAUUAGCAAUAUAAUAUCUCACUUUAAAAUCCUACAAUGUGAUUAUUAUUCUUCAGACAUAAAUAAAAAGUACAAUAAUUUUGGACACCAUCAAAAUAACAUUUGCAAACCUUAAGAGUUUUGUAAGUUACAUUAAAGAUGAUUAAUGAUUUGCAUGUAGCAUUCUCAAUGUUGAACAUAAAUAUUCCAAUAUAUCCUUGUUGCUUGAGUGUCCCAGUAUGGGAGGAGGUAGACUUGGCACAUUGAAAGCUAUUCCUAUUCUAAAGAAAUUAUAUGGAAGGUUCAGAAUUCUUCAGAGAAUCAGCUAUAAUAAAAUCCAUGUUAAGAAUUCAUUUUGUAUGAGAGAAUGUGAGAGUAAAAUCCAAAAGAGGUUAAUUUUACCCAGGAGAGAAUUUCAUAUCCUUUUUCAUUUGUCAGAAUAUACUUGAUUCAUAAGUGUUCUUUCACCUACCUAGGGCCACAUAACAGGAAAUUCCACUCAUGGUAUCUCCUAAUAACAACUUUGGUUUUUUUGUAGGCAUUUUGGUCACUUCCCCUUCUCCUCUGGGGCAGGUCCUUUUCCCUUCUGUUGCAAACCAACACAAUAUCAUACAGCCUCCAUGUUGACCCAGCCAAUUAAUUUGUUCAUGGAUCACACUGCGGAUGUAGCCUUACUCUCUAUCGCCAACUUUUGAUGCUAUUUUUUUAUUGAUAAUAAAAGGAACGUUAUUUGGAGAAAUAUUCUUUAGAAGUAUAAAAACCAGAAAAAAUUAAAAACACCCAUAAAAUUCAACCACCCGGAAUUGGCAGAUCCAUUCUAGCCAUUGGGGGGAAAAACAUUUUGGGGUUCCUAUGUACAGUUUGUAUCACUCUUUUCACUAAACAUUAUAAACUUUUGCUGUGCUGCUGAAUACUCUUAAUAAACAUUUAUUAUGUUGACUGCAUACUAGGUCUAUUGUAUAAUCAUGCUAUAAUUUAUUUAACCGAUUUUCUCCUGUUGGACUUUUAGAUAAGUAAGCAUAAAUUUUGCCCACAUUUUAGACUAUUUCUUUAGGACAGAUUCCCAGAAGUGGAAUUAGAGGAUCAGGGGAUAUAAACAUUUUUAAAGCUCCUCCUAAUAGAUACUGCCAAAUUGCUUUUCAGAAAGCUGUUGCCAAUUUACACUUCCAACAUUGCCAGCAUAUUUUUCUACCAAUAUAGAUCCAUGUAAAGGAUAAUAAAAUUUAAGUGGAACAUACAGUCCUCCCAUUAUUAAUGCAGUUGGAGAAGCAUCAUGACCACGGCACAAAGUCUUAGGGCAAAGGUCAUACCUAUUUCCAGGUUUGCAGUUAACAAGGAGUUAGUAUGAGCACAUGGAACAGUGAAGAGUAAAGAGUCAUAUAAUUAGAUUUCAGACUGUCAAAUGUAAGGCCUGUGUCUCUUUUGUUUAUUGCUGUACCUCAGCACACAGGACAGUGCCUGGUACCUCAGCCAUUCAACAUUCAUUGAGUAAAUUAAUACAGAAUAUUCUUUCAGAUAGCCUUUCAGCCAGUGGAGGGUUGAUUUACUCCUGGUUCAAGGGAAAAAUGAUUGGCUGAUCACUCUUAUAAAGUUCUGUUCAACCUUGAGAUUCUAUUGCAACUUUGGAAAUCAGCUUAAGUGAAGGUGAUACAAUAAAGAUCUCUUUAGAGGAAAAACAAGUAUACUCAUCUAAAAGUACAUACUCUGGCACCAGUUACAACAGUUACAAGGUUAAAAAAAAUAUACACACACAGAUAUACAUAUAUACACACAAAUAUAUAUAUACACGAAAAUAUACAUACAUAUACACACCCAUAUAUAGUAUUUAUUUUUAUAAACUUGCAAAAAAAUUUGUGUUUUGCCACCUCCAUAGUACACAUUUUAAUAGGUGAUAACAUAUUCAAAUGCCAUGGUCAAAGCAUUUUCAGAACUACCUUUAGUUNNNNNNNNNNNNNNNNNNNNNNNNNNNNNNNNNNNNNNNNNNNNNNNNNNNNNNNNNNNNNAACUUUGGAAAUCAGCUUAAGUGAAGGUGAUACAAUAAAGAUCUCUUUAGAGGAAAAACAAGUAUACUCAUCUAAAAGUACAUACUCUGGCACCAGUUACAACAGUUACAAGGUUAAAAAAAAUAUACACACACACAUAUACAUAUAUACACACAAAUAUACAUACAUAUACACACCCAUAUAUAGUAUUUAUUUUUAUAAACUUGCAAAAAAAUUUGUGUUUUGCCACCUCCAUAGUACACAUUUUAAUAGGUGAUAACAUAUUCAAAUGCCAUGGUCAAAGCAUUUUCAGAACUACCUUUAGUUCAUUCCAUUAUUGCCAAUUGUAACUUGGCACCAUUUCUAAUAUUGCCAAAAUAGGUUUUGAGAUAUUACAUGGGAAUAACACAGGUGGUAGUUUGCAAAAAAUCAUUUUUAAUCAAAAAGCACAAAAUUCAUUUUGUGAACUGGAAUAUGGUCAAGGUGAAAUAGCCAAUCAUUCAGUUCUCGGUCAUUCUCUUGGUCUCAAGAUUCCACAAUUUCUGUAUAGUAAAUCGUCAGACACUGACAGAUCCGCUUGGCCUUAACAAUGUUAUUGAUGGAAAACAAGCUAUCAUCUGUCAUACACACACACACACACACACACACUAGAUCAGAGGUAGGCAAACUAUGGGCCAUGGGCCAAGUCUGGUACACCACCUGUCUUUCCAUGGUCUAUAAGCUAAACAAUUUUUUUUCUUAAAUAUUUUUUUAGUUGUCAGUGGACCUUUUUUUUUUUUUUUAAUUUAUUGAUACGUGGUGCUGAGAAUCAAACUCAGUGCCUCACACAUGCUAGGCAAGCACUCUGCCACUGAGCCACAACCCCAGCCCAACAAUUUUUUUUUAUAUGUUUAGAUGGUUGGGGAAAAAAAUCAAGAUUAUAUUUUGUAAAAACUAUGUGAAAUUCAAAUUCUAGUAUCCCUUUAUAAAGUUUCAUAUGGAACAUAGCCAUGAUCCUUUGUUUUCAUAUUAGCUUUGUCUACUUUAGCACUAACAUGUUGAGUAACUGCAACAGAGAUGAUAGAGCACACAGAGCCUAGGAUGCUUUCUUUAUAGAAGUCUGCUGACCCUUCAGUAGACCCAAGUGGGUCCUUGGAGGUACUGAAGCUCCCCACUAGAUUGUUUCUGGAUAUUUAUACUGGGUGAUACAACUUGCACAGAAUUUGUAAAGAUCUGAUAAGGCAGAGACUAGAGAGAACAUAAAUAUAGAAGGAUUGCCUCCGAUAAGAUGUAAAAGCCUGGUAAAAUCUAGGAAGGCUGAUCCCUGCAGCAGUAGUUGAAGAAUGCAGAAUAACAUAGUUCAGGAGCAAAGGGAGGCUCUCUAACUAAGAUCCUGGUGAGACGUAAUCCCAGGGAGCCUAGCAAGAACAGUGAAGAGUAAAGAGUCAUAUAAUUAGAUUUCAGACUGUCAAAUGUAAGGCCUGUGUCUCUUUUGUUUAUUGCUGUACCUCAGCACACAGGACAGUGCCUGGUACCUCAGCCAUUCAACAUUCAUUGAGUAAAUUAAUACAGAAUAUUCCCUCAGAUAACCUCCCAAACAGUGAAGAGUUGAACUACUACUGGAACCCAGUAUCCCUUUACAAAGCUUCACAUAAAAAAGGCUGAUCCCUGCAGCAGUAGUUGAAGAAUGCAGAAUAACAUAGUUCAGGAGCAAAGGGAGGCUCUCUAACUAAAAUCCUGGUGAGACGUAAUCCCAGGGAGCCUAGCAAGGCUUGCUGGUGAUGAUAUCUGCAAAGAGCAGGCAAAGUGAAUCGUGUAUGCAACAGAGUGACAGACAGUUCCCCAAUAGUGAUCCACUCCUUUAGUAGGUGUCCUCAAGUCAUUUAGAAUCCAGACUUAUCUGGGCAUCUCCCAUAUCAAGUGUGGACUUUGACAAAGAAAUGGAUCUGAAAGGAAGGCUCUGGAAAGUAGGUCCCAGGUAUACAUUCUUCCCAAAAGAUAACAUUUCAAAGAGGACUCAGAGCCAGGGGCAGAAUUUAGAAGACUAUAGAACUGUCCUUGUGUUUUUCUCAAAGAUUGGUGAAAUUUUUAUUUUUUUCUCUUUUUAAAAUAAUUUUUAAUGGGGUAAAUGGAGCAGGGUGGAGAGUGAGAGAAUUAGAUAAAAUUAAUGAUGGGAUGAUCUGCCCCAAGAACAAUCUAUUCCUCUUGGACUUUAGCUGUGGCACCGAACAUUCCAUGUGGACUCUGAAUCAAAAUGGGAGUGAGAAUAUGGGUGGGUAGGGGAAGAUCUACCUAAAUGCCAAAAAGAUUCACUGAUUGUGUUAAGCCUGAGAAUUAUGGUCAAGGUUUGCAGAUUGCCAACUCUUCUCCUAAUGUCCCACAGAGAGCCAAGCUUGAUCUGCAAUUAGGUGAAACUUCUCCUGUCAGGCAGAAUACAGUGGCUGGGAGAAUGGGAUUUGGAUGUUAUAGCUCUGAAUACUCAUGAUUCUCAGGGCCAGAGGUAAGGAGAUUGCUUUCUUGAGAAAAUAGUUGCAUCUGGGGAGUACAACCAACAGUGGCUAAGAGAGGCAAGGACCUCCUCCCAUCCUCCUGGGCACCGAUGCCCCUUAUUAAAAAAAAAAAAAUCCAGAACAUAUAUUCCCCUCGUUGCCCUACCCACUUCUUGAGAGGUGGGUAGGGGUAGAGCAGACAAUUUCUGCUCCAAUGGCACAGUGGCUAAAGCAGAGAGCUUGAAGAGGGACCCAAAAUUCAGAGAAAUAAGAGAAAACUGAGUGAAAGACCUUAACAAAAGAGCAAUUCAAGGAUCAACACAUCAAAGUGGCCAAAAGGUGCUCUUGGAGGUGUGGUCCAGAACCAGAAAACAAACUGGUGAAGAAUAAAUUGAGAGGGGUAUAUGCAUGAGCCAAAGACAAGAGCCUCGAGUGUGAUGCAGGGCUGGAUUUGAGAUUACAAGAUCAGGAGCUCAAGAGACCUGGCCCACAAGUGCAUGCCAGGGUAAAUGUGGGUCAGCAAUGGAGUACAUUUGGCAAGUGGGUACAUAAGGAGUUCUAAGAACUCCCUUGGAUACUCCAGGCGAUCAUGUGGAAGUCUUGGGUUUAGCAAUUUGAGUACUAUGUGAGAAUAGAUUGCUCUGGAUGAGUUUUAGGACAGAAAUUUUACUUCUCAAAAAUCUGAAGCAUGACAUUAUCACUGAAUAUUUUAUGGGAAGCCUUGCAAAGAGACAAUGGGUUCAAGUAGUAGUUCAACUAAUAACUAUUUAGGACAUCAUCUAAGGAUAUAAGCUGUCCAUUUCAUGACAGACACUUGGAAAAAUUUGAAUUCAAUUACUUUUUUUGUAUUUUCGUUAUUGUAUGUGUUA
rnacentral:lncRNA from 1 species